rnacentral:rRNA from 1 species
GAUGAACGCUGGCGGCGUGCCUAAUACAUGCAAGUCGAGCGAACAGACGAGGAGCUUGCUCCUCUGACGUUAGCGGCGGACGGGUGAGUAACACGUGGAUAACCUACCUAUAAGACUGGGAUAACUUCGGGAAACCGGAGCUAAUACCGGAUAAUAUAUUGAACCGCAUGGUUCAAUAGUGAAAGACGGUUUUGCUGUCACUUAUAGAUGGAUCCGCGCCGCAUUAGCUAGUUGGUAAGGUAACGGCUUACCAAGGCAACGAUGCGUAGCCGACCUGAGAGGGGGAUCGGCCACCCUGGAACUGAGACACGGUCCAGACUCCUACGGGAGGCAGCAGUAGGGAAUCUGCCGCAAUGGGCGAAAGCUUGACGGAGCAACGCCGCGUGAGUGAUGAAGGUCUUCGGAUCAUAAAACUCUGUUAUUAGGGAAGAACAAAUGUGUAAGUAACUAUGCACGUCUUGACGGUACCUAAUCAGAAAGCCACGGCUAACUACGU